rnacentral:rRNA from 1 species
UACGGAGGGUGCGAGCGUUGUCCGGAAUCAUUGGGCGUAAAGGGCGCGUAGGCGGUCCGAUAAGUCGGCUGUGAAAGUCAAGGGCUCAACCCUUGAAAGCCGGCCGAUACUGUCGGACUAGAGUCCGGAAGAGGCGAGUGGAAUUCCCGGUGUAGCGGUGAAAUGCGCAGAUAUCGGGAGGAACACCAAUGGCGAAGGCAGCUCGCUGGGACGGUACUGACGCUGAGGCGCGAAAGCGUGGGGAGCAAACAGGG